GUUAGGAAUAUUGGACAAUGGGCGCAAGCCUGAUCCAGCCAUGCCGCGUGAGUGAUGAAGGCCUUCGGGUUGUAAAGCUCUUUAGCCGAUGAUUAUAAUGACUGUAGUCGGAAAAUAAGCCCCGGCUAACUUCGUGCCAGCAGCCGCGGUAAUACGAAGGGGGCGAGCGUUAUUCGGAAUCACUGGGCGUAAAGCGUGCGUAGGCGGCUUUGCAAGUUGGGAGUGAAAGCCCAGGGCUCAACCCUGGAAUUGAUCUCAAAACUGAAAGGCUCGAAUUCGGGAGAGGAUAGCGGAAUUGUCAGUGUAGCAGUGAAAUGCGUAGAUAUUGACAGGAACACCAGUGGCGUAAGCGGCUAUCUGGACCGAUAUUGACGCUGAGGCACGAAAGCGUGGGGAUCAAACAGGAUUAGAAACCCUUGUAGUCC
rnacentral:rRNA from 1 species